CGCCUUGCCAGCCGCUCAGAACCAAAGGAAUUGACGGGGCCCGCACAAGCGAGGAGCAUGUGGUUAAUUCGAUGAUACGCGAGGAACCUUACCUGGGCUCGAACGUAAGAUGACUGUAGGUGAAAGCUUACAUCUCUUCGGAGCAUUUUACGAGGUGCUGCAUGGUUGUCGUCAGCUCGUGCCGUGAGGUGUCGGGUUAAGUCCCAUAACGAGCGCAACCCCUACCUUUAGUUGCCAUCAGGUUAAGCUGGGGACUCUAAAGGAACUGCCUACGCAAGUAGUGAGGAAGGCGGGGAUGACGUCAAAUCAGCACGGCCCUUACGUCCAGGGCUACACACGUGCUACAAUGGCCGAUACAGAGGGCAGCUACCUGGUGACAGGAUGCAAAUCUCCAAAGUCGGUCUCAGUUCGGAUCGGAGUCUGCAACCCGACUCCGUGAAGUUGGAUUCGCUAGUAAUCGCGCAUCAGCCAUGGCGCGGUGAAUACGUUCCCGGGCCUU
rnacentral:rRNA from 1 species